rfam:Canis lupus familiaris chromosome 1, whole genome shotgun sequence.
AGGAGGAACAGCCCCAGUGGCGGGGCAGCUCUGGAAACCUGGAUUCAGCUCCGGCAGGAACUGCGUCUGCAGGGCCUGGAGGCUCCGGGGCGGG